GACGAACGCUGGCGGCGUGCUUAACACAUGCAAGUCGAACGGAAAGGCCCUGCUUUUGUGGGGUGCUCGAGUGGCGAACGGGUGAGUAACACGUGAGUAACCUGCCCUUGACUUUGGGAUAACUUCAGGAAACUGGGGCUAAUACCGGAUAGGAGCUCCUGCUGCAUGUUGGGGGUUGGAAAGUUUCGGCGGUUGGGGAUGGACUCGCGGCUUAUCAGCUUGUUGGUGGGGUAGUGGCUUACCAAGGCUUUGACGGGUAGCCGGCCUGAGAGGGUGACCGGACACAUGGGGACUGAGAUACGGCGCAGACUCCUACGGGAGGCAGCAGUGGGGAAUAUUGCACAAUGGGCGGAAGCCUGAUGCAGCAACGCCGCGUGCGGGAUGACGGCCUUCGGGUUGUAAACCGCUUUCGCCUGUGACGAAGCGUGAGUGACGGUAAUGGGUAAAGAAGCACCGGCUAACUACGUG
rnacentral:rRNA from 1 species